GAAGGUAUAGCUCAGUGAUAGAGUGCAUGCCUAGCAUGCCUGAGGUCCUGGGCUCAAUUCCCAGUAUCUCCA
rnacentral:tRNA from 1 species